rnacentral:rRNA from 1 species
AGCGAACGCUGGCGGCAGGCCUAACACAUGCAAGUCGAGCGCUCGUAGCAAUACGGGAGCGGCAGACGGGUGAGUAACACGUGGGAACGUGCCCUUUGGUUCGGAAUAACUCAGGGAAACUUGAGCUAAUACCGGAUAAGCCCUUACGGGGAAAGAUUUAUCGCCGAAGGAUCGGCCCGCGUCUGAUUAGCUAGUUGGUGAGGUAACGGCUCACCAAGGCGACGAUCAGUAGCNGGUCUGAGAGGAUGAUCAGCCUCACUGGGACUGAGACACGGCCCAGACUCCUACGGGAGGCAGCAGUGGGGAAUAUUGGACAAUGGGCGCAAGCCUGAUCCAGCCAUGCCGCGUGGGUGAUGAAGGCCCUAGGGUUGUAAAGCCCUUUCGGCGGGGAAGAUAAUGACGGUACCCGCAGAAGAAGCCCCGGCUAACUUCGUGCCAGCCGCCGCCGUAAC